CCUACGGGAGGCAGCAGUGGGGAAUAUUGCACAAUGGGGGAAACCCUGAUGCAGCGACGCCGCGUGAGUGAAGAAGUAAUUCGUUAUGUAAAGCUCUAUCAGCAGGGAAGAAAAUGACGGUACCUGAGUAAGAAGCCCCGGCUAACUACGUGCCAGCAGCCGCGGUAAUACGUAGGGGGCAAGCGUUAUCCGGAUUUACUGGGUGGAAAGGGAGCGUAGACGGCAGUGCAAGUCUGGAGUGAAAGGCGGGGGCUCAACCCCCGGACUGCUCUGGAAACUGUACGGCUGGAGUGCAGGAGAGGUAAGUGGAAUUCCUAGUGUAGCGGUGAAAUGCGUAGAUAUGAGGAGGAACACCAGUGGCGAAGGCGGCUUACUGGACUGUAACUGACGUUGAGGCUCGAAAGCGUGGGGAGCAAACAGGAUUAGAUACCCUAGUAGUC
rnacentral:rRNA from 1 species